AUACUAACUGAAGAUGUUCUCUCAGUGUUAAGCACCAUGAUAUACCUGACCAAUUUUGCAACAAAGGAAAAGCCAAUUGUGGUAUAACAGUUUUACUAGCAGGGUCAUUUAGCAAUGCCAGGAGACAUUUUGGAUUGUCACAUCCAGGGAGUGGGAAGGAUGCUACUGGCCUCUAGUGGGAAAUUGAAGGAAAAUAUGACUGGUGGGAUGGAAGACAGGGCACUGAGCAGGGAUUCUGUAUUCUCGCCGACUGGAGAACUGUGAUCAUGGAAAGUUACUGAUAAGCAACUUCACUUCCCUGGAGAAGUAAAAGAGCAGCAGUGGGAGUUGUUACAUUAAUGAAUGUGUCUCCACUGGCAAGAAGAUGUCAGCUGAGAAGACCAGUGUUUCCUUCAACACUACCAC